ensembl:snRNA U6 U6 spliceosomal RNA
GUGCUCGCUUUGGCAGCACAGAUACUAAAAUUGGAACGAUGCAGAAAAGUUUAGCAUGGUCCCUGCGCAAGGAUGACAUGCAAAUUUGUGAAGUGAUCCAUAUUUAU